AGGUUGCUACUGUCUUUCUAAUGAGCAGAAUAGAAAUAUGCAUAAUGUGACACUUGAUGUUUACAAGUCAAGUAGUUUAAGAGAAGAUUCUACAAACUUUUUAUGGCAAAUUGGAUUUAGUUGCACAACAAGAGUCAUCGUCUGAUUGAGCUGCAUAAAAGCCGACUACAUUAUAUAAUAUG